rnacentral:ncRNA from 13 species
GAGUGGUGGCCGAGUGGUCUAAGGCGCUGGAUUUAGGCUCCAGUCCGGAAGGGCAUGGGUUCGAAUCCCAUCUACUCC